rnacentral:misc_RNA from 1 species
GAUGAAGAACGUAGCGAAAUGCGAUACUUGGUGUGAAUUGCAGAAUCCCGUGAACCAUCGAGUCUUUGAACGCAAGUUGCGCCCGAAGCCACUAGGCCGAGGGCACGCCUGCCUGGGCGUCACACGCCGUUGCCCCCCCAUCUACUCCUUCGGGAUUGCGGGGGGGCGGAUGAUGGCCUCCCGUGCGCCUAGCCGCGCGGUUGGCAUAAAUACCAAGUCCUCGGCGACGCACGCCACGACAAUCGGUGGUUGCGAAACCUCGGUUGCCCGUCGUGUGCGUUCGUCGCGCAUCGAGGGCUCGAAAAAAUGCUCGGCUCCGGCUGGGCUUUCAACGCGACCCCAGGUCAGGCGGGGUUACCCGCUGAAUUUAAGCAUAUCAAUAACGGAGGA